rnacentral:rRNA from 1 species
CUUAACCGCCUUCAUGUUUUGCAUAUUCGUGCACAUUUGGUGUACUUGUCCGUGUGGUGGGUUAACAUCAAUUUCGGUCGUCAUAAAAUGAUUGGAGGAAUGUAGCUUUGAUCUCGUAUCGAAGUGUUUAGACUCUGGUAGAUGUGACGAUUGGGAUUGAGGAUUGCAACGGAUACCCUUCGGGGGCUACCCGUCUGAUCUCUGAAGGUUGCUCCGGUGCCGAAAGCGUGCUUACGGUCAUCGAAAGUGAUUUUCAAAAGGUUAGAUCGGGUUAAA